CAUAAACGAUGUCAGCCAGCGAUCCGCCAACGUUCCUCCGAUGACUUGGCGGGCAGCUUCCGGGAAACCAAAGCUUUUGGAU
rfam:Asian citrus Psyllid, Diaphorina citri - Florida Strain, whole genome shotgun sequence.